UACGUAGGGUGCGAGCGUUAAUCGGAAUUACUGGGCGUAAAGCGUGCGCAGGCGGCGCGUUAAGACAGGUGUGAAAGCCCCCGAGCUUAACUUGGGAAUUGCGCUUGUGACUGGCGUGCUGGAGUGUGGCAGAGGGAGGUGGAAUUCCACGUGUAGCAGUGAAAUGCGUAGAGAUGAUGGAGGAACACCGAUGGCGAAGGCAGCCUCCUGGGCCAGCACUGACGCUCAUG
rnacentral:rRNA from 1 species